rnacentral:lncRNA from 1 species
GAGGGGCCGUCCACAGCGUCACCGACGCCUCUAAGCGUUGCCGGAGCUGCCGCCAGUCAUCGCGGCGGACCACCACCACCUUGCCCCUUCUCCUUCGCGCGAGAGGAAUAUGAACCUGCCUUCUGCAGUUCAUCCAAGCGAUUCGUGCCACCAGUCGUCGCCUCUCAGGCCUUGAGCCAAGGUCGCGCCGGUGGUGCGGCUUGUUGCCGGAGCCGUUGCCACUCGAGCCAAGGCGUCGCCGGCGACGACCUUCACUACCAGGGACAAAUCCAGCCGAUGUCACCGGCGCAUGUGAUUCUCUUCUCCCCUUUCCCCUACCGCGGUCGUCGUCGUCCAAGAGAAGGAAGCCGCCACCACUGAAUCCACCGUUUAAAGAUCAGAGACAACAAUCCCAGAGGCUCGUCGAGACAACCUUUUGGGGUUUUUCGGUGGUCUCUUUUGUUUCGAAUCUCCGUGCCUCAGUUUGAUAGAAUGCUGCCAUUUCUUUUAAUUUUUCGAUUGCCAUAUCUAAGUGCAGGGAUUUUACCACUUAGUGGUUGAUCAAGUUAUGUUUUCCCGUAAAUCUAAUGC